UGCGUAGGCGGCUUUGUAAGUCAGUAGUGAAAUAUGGCAGCUCAACUGUCAGGGUGCCAUUGAUACUGCGGAGCUUGAGUACAGAUGAGGUAGGCGGAAUUGACGGUGUAGCGGUGAAAUGCUUAGAUAUCGUCAAGAACACCGAUAGCGAAGGCAGCUUACUGGGCUGUAACUGACGCUGAGGCACGAAAGUGUGGGGAUCAAACA
rnacentral:rRNA from 1 species